AGUGAACGCUGGCGGUAGGCCUAACACAUGCAAGUCGAACGGCAGCACAGUAAGAGCUUGCUCUUACGGGUGGCGAGUGGCGGACGGGUGAGGAAUACAUCGGAAUCUACUUUUUCGUGGGGGAUAACGUAGGGAAACUUACGCUAAUACCGCAUACGACCUACGGGUGAAAGCAGGGGCUCUUCGGACCUUGCGCGAUUGAAUGAGCCGAUGUCGGAUUAGCUAGUUGGCGGGGUAAAGGCCCACCAAGGCGACGAUCCGUAGCUGGUCUGAGAGGAUGAUCAGCCACACUGGAACUGAGACACGGUCCAGACUCCUACGGGAGGCAGCAGUGGGGAAUAUUGGACAAUGGGCGCAAGCCUGAUCCAGCCAUACCGCGUGGGUGAAGAAGGCCUUCGGGUUGUAAAGCCCUUUUGUUGGGAAAGAAAAGCAGCAGGUUAAUACCCCGCUGUUCUGACGGUACCCAAAGAAUAAGCACCGGCUAACUUCGU
rnacentral:rRNA from 1 species